UUGGAUUCUCCUCCUCCGGCGUGAGAGUGAUUACAGCAUUAUUGGCCUCCCGAAGAAGUUUCCUAUGGGAAAAGAAUAUCUGACGCUGCCUCCAUAACCUGAUCACCGAUAGUCUGCAGGCUGGCACUGUCUUACACAUUAGCCAUCAGGUCCUGGCCCCUUAUGGCGAACCAGAUCGAACACCACCCAUUUCACCUCUUCUACAGUAACUGGCGGGGUGGAGAGAAGAUCAAUAUGCUCAAUAGAUGAAGUAGUACCGAUGGUGUCCCGAAGCAUCUGCAUCAAUCGAUGAAGCUUAUGUUAAGAACACUGAGAACAGAAGCUCCUCAUCUGAUGCUAUUACUGAUACCAAGAAGAACAGGGGAAGCAAGAUAUACAAGAGCAAUAAAAAGAAAACAUAUGAAGAAGAGGAAGUAGAGUAUAUACAUGCUGCUAAGAAGAUAUGCUGCUGAGAAGAAUGAGAAGAGAACCUGUUUCGAACACUCUGUAUAGUGCUGCAAGUCUUGGCUAGUCUCGACAAUUAGUCUAGUGUAAUUCAGUUCUGGAAGUUAGUUAGUUUUUGCUUCAGUUAGUUAGUUAUAUUUUCUUCAACUGAUUCAAUACCUGUAAAAACAAAUUUCAGAGAUAGUCCUUGUGUAUAAAAGGCUAACUCUCGAUUGAAUGUUAAUAAUGGAAAGGAAAGAGAAAGAAGUCUUUCAUCUCAAGAUCUCUCUACAGAUUCUUCAUCCCAUUUUUCUUCUCUGCGCAUAAACUUCUUCAUGGUAUCAGAGCAUCUGCAUCUUGAAGAAAUCAUCUUGAUGCUGAACAAAGUAGAGAGAUCUAGACCAGAUCGAAGUUAGAUUCGAAGCUUCUUUGAUCUCUGAAGAUAUCUGUAUCUUCCAACAAGAUCUGUGAGUUGGUAUUUUUCAUCCACAUCUAAAUCUUCAUCAGCAAUAUUCUUGUUGCAGCAUACUGCAAAUCAGUAGAAUUUGUGUCUGCAACUAGAGUUGAUAAGAGAUCAGGAAGAAUAGAAUGGCAGCAAGAAGUUUGAGAUAUCCAUUUCCUAUUCAUGUUAAUAUCUCGAAUUUCGUUACCAUCAAAUUAGCUGAGGAUAAUUUCCUCCUGUGGCAAGCUCAAUUCUAUAGAUUCUUAAGAAGCCAAGAUCUAUUCGGUUUUGUGAAUGGGGAAAUUUCACCACCUGCAAAGACAGUACAAGUUGAAGAAGGAGGUCAAACUUCUUAGAUCCCUAAUCCUGAUUAUCAUGACUGGAUAAAAACAGAUCAGCUUGUAUCUUCUUGGAUUAGUGGUGCAGUAUCAGAGAAUAUACUCAGCCUGAUAAUUGGUUUAAACACUGCUUAUGAAGUUUGGCAAACUCUGUUAAAUCGGUUCACACAAAAAUCAGUAGUUAAGGAGUUCGAGUUAAGAGGAAAACUGCAGGCUUGCCAGAAACGUGAACAAACAUUAUCAGCAUACCUCAGGGAGUACAAGUCAAUAUGUGAUCAAUUGAAUGCCAUAGGAAAACCAGUUGAUGAAAUCACAAAACUAUUUGGAGUUCUGGAAGGCUUGGGAUCUAAGUAUGAAAGUUUCAAAACUACAAUCUAUUGCUUGAAGCCCCAACCAGAAUAUGAUGAAGUAAUCUCACACUUAGAAAGAUUCGAAGCCAGGUUACAGAAUUAUUCUUUAAAUCAGUUCAGUCCUAACCUAGCUUACUAUGGCUAGAGGAAAACUGAAGCUAUACANNNNNNNNNNNNNNNNNNNNNNNNNNNNNNNNNNNNNNNNNNNNNNNNNNNNNNNNNNNNNNNNNNNNNNNNNNNNNNNNNNNNNNNNNNNNNNNNNNNNGGAGGAAGAGAUUAUGGAAGAGGAAGAACAUAUAAUGCCAGAUACAGGAACUUUGGUUAUCUUGGAAGAAACAUGAGUUACAGAAAUAAUAACUCAAACUAUAAACAAGAAAAUCAGCAGUUCAAACAAUUCAAUACCUCCUCUGGCUUGGGUACUGUUCAAGGAUUUAGACCAUACAAUGUAUCGGCACAAAGGUAUUCUGAUACCAAGUCAUAUCCUGCAUCAAAUUCAACUCUUCACAAAAAGGUACAAGUGGAAAAACCAGCAGAACACACUCGACUUGAGUGUCAAAUCUGUAAGAGGCCUGGUCAUGAUGGCUUACAUUGUUGGUAUCGGUUUGAUAACUCCUAUCAAGCUAAGGAGAUACCAACAGCUCUAGCAGCACUACUACAUAUAGAGGAGGCAAAUGAUCAAGAAUGGUAUCCAGACACUGAAGCAACAGCCCAUAUUACCUCUAAUGCUGGUAUACUUCAUAGUCUUUCUAAAAAUAACAAUGCUGAUAUAGUCAUGAUAGGCAAUGAUCUACGUUUAUCUGUCAAAUACAUUGGUAAUGCAAUACUGAAUAUUGCAAUUACUGCCUUGCCUCUCAAAGAUGUGCUGAUUGUUCCUGAGAUUAAGAAAAAUCUUCUAUCAGUGUAAAAAUUCACUGAUGAUUACCCUUGUUCCUUUAUUUUUGACAAAACUGGUGUGUACAUCAAGGACAACACCACCAACACAACCAUGAAGUUAGGAAGGAAGGUUAGAGGGCUGUACAGAGUAGACCCUCAUGCUGCAGAAGUCUAUUUCACACAAAGACAAAGAAUUGUUGCAGAGAGUAUCUGGCAUCAACGACUGGCUCAUACAAAUCAGAAUAUCUUGAAGCAUUUGAGGAAUCAAAAUCUAAUUCAGUAUAACAAAGAACCACAGUAUGUACGUAGAAGUUGCCAAAUAGCUAAGAGUACUGCUCUACCCUUUCCAUUAUCAACUUCUACAGCUACAAAACCUCUAGAACAAAUUCACUGUGAUAUUUGGGGACCUUCUCCAGUUAAAUCUUUUCAGAGUUUCAAGUACUAUGUCAUUUUUGUUGACAAUUUCUCUCGGUUCAGUUGGAUAUACCCAUUAAAGCUGAAGUCAGAUUUCUAUAGUAUUUUUCUCAUGUUUCAAAAGUUAGUAGAAAAUCAGCAUAACUGUAAAAUCAAGACCUUCCAGUGUGAUGGUGGAGGAGAGUUUAUUAGCCAAAGGUUCAGAACUCACCUACAGAACUGUGGCAUUCAACAGCAUAUCUCAUGUCCAUAUACACCUGAGCAGAAUGGGAUACCUGAAAGGAAGCAUCGACAUAUAGUUGAACUUGGUCUGGCUAUGCUAUAUCAUGCAAAAAUUCCAUUAAAAUUUUGGGUAGAUGCAUUUGUAACAGCCAACUAUAUUGUUAACAUUCUUCCUACUCAAAAAUUACAGAUGCAGUCUCCCUUCAGCAAAUUAUAUCAGCAUAAACCAAGAUAUGACCAUCUCAGAACCUUUGGCUGUGCUUGCUAUCUCUGUCUUCGACCAUAUGCACAAAAUAAGCUGGAUCCACGGUCACUAACCUGUGUCUUUCUUGGAUACAGUGAUCACUAUAAGGGAUAUCGAUGCCUUCUCUCUACUACUAGUCAUGUCUACAUUAGUCGGCAUGUAGUGUUUGAUGAAAAAAUUUUCCCAUUCUCUCAUAAAUUAGCAACAGUUUAUCCUUCCUACACACACUUGUAUAAAUUGUGGACAGAAGAAGAGCAGUUCCUAGCUUCCUCAAUUACAAAUCACAUAAAACAUUCAACUUCUCAGUAUACAGAUUGGGAACAAGAAGCCACAGCUAAUCAAACAAAUGGAGUAUUCUUACCUGAAUGCACAGAACAAGCAGUUUCUGUCUCUCUAGCUGAAUUUCCUAUGGAUCAAGUAUCCACCUCUAUUCAGGAUAGUCCACAACAAGUUGAAGUACCUAUUCCCAUAACUGAGACAAUAGAUGAACCAAAUAUGGAACAACAUACUUCAAAUAAUCAGACAGAUUCACAAGGUACAUUACAUACUCACCCUAUGCAGACUAGGUCUAAGUUUGGCAUUAUCAAGACCAAUCCUCGGUAUGCAUGUCUUGCUAUAUAUGAAGUACCUACUGAACCAAAAACAAUCAAAUCAGCCUUAGCACAUAAAGGCUGGUAUAAGGCAAUGACAGAAGAGAUGGAUGCACUUUAUCAGAACAAAACUUGGGAAUUAACUCCUCAAACUAGUCAAAUGAAUGUCAUUGGCUGUAAGUGGGUAUUUAAAACAAAGCUUGCAGCUGAUGGUAGCCUUGAUAGACUUAAGGCUCGACUAGUUUUUAAAGGAUUUCAUCAAAAAGAGGGCAUUGACUUUACAGAAACAUUUAGUCCAGUCAUCAAACAUGCUACAAUUCGUAUAGUUCUAUCUGUAGCCAUGAUGAAACACUGGCCAAUCCAUCAACUAGAUGUCAAAAAUGCAUUUUUACAUGAUACAUUGAAUGAGAUAGUUUACAUGGAGCAGCCUCCUGGUUUUCAAGAUCCCAAGAAACCUCAUCAUAUAUGUCUACUCAGGAAGUCUCUUUAUGGACUUCGACAAGCUCCUCGAGCCUGGUUUGACAAGUUCAACAACUUUCUGCUUGAAUAUGGGUUCUUUUGCAGCUCAACUGACCCAUCCUUGUUCAUCUAUCAUAAUGAUACAGACACUAUACUUCUACUACUAUAUGUUGAUGACAUUAUCCUGACUGGAAGCUCCUCUCAGUUACUUUCCAACCUCAUCCAUUCUCUAAGGGGGUGCAUGAUAAAAAUUAUUUCUGUUCCAGAAAUGAUUUUUCUGUUCCAGACUAAUUUCUGAAACAAAAACUUGUUUGAUAAGGCUACUCAAAUUUUCUAUUUCUGGAAUAGAUUUCUAUUCCAGAAAUAGAAAUGGAGGAGAAAUCAGAAGUUUCUACUUCUGAUUUCUCCCACUAAAAACCCUAAUUUCACUCGGUCCUCCCUCGUACGUCUCUGCCUCCUCCUCCUCCUCCUCCUCCUCCUCCUCCGCCUCUGCUCAUCUCCUCGAGACAUCGUCUCCUCCGCCUCUCCUCAUCUCCUCGAGACAUCGUCUUCUCCAUUGGACACUCGGAUCGUCUCCUCCACUGGACGCUCUCUGCCUCUCCUCUUGCUCAUCCACAUCUACUCGCGAAUCCACCCCCUCGCCGCGACCCACUGUCCCCGCUUAUUGUCCGAGCACCCCUCGGCAACAGAUCUCGCGCCUGCACCCCCGCCGCUCGUUCCCCUGCGACGCUAGAAGCCCUUUGCAACAGAUCUGAGCAUCGACGCCCCAAGCCGCUCUUGCUCUGCUCUGUCUCACCAAAAGCUGCCAUCACCCCGCGACCUCAGCAACGCCGCGCGCCCUCUCCUCAUCCAGCGACGAGCUGCUCGCGAAUCCACCCCUUCGCCUCAUCCAGAAGCCCUCUGCGGCACAUCGGAGCCGCUCGAGUUCGUCCGACGAGGCCCACGACCGUGAAGUGCGCAAAGAAGCAGAACUACCCUUCUCCUCCCUUCUCUGGUUCGUGCCGAUUCCUCUUCUUUUUCUCUCUCUGUUGAGUGCUCUGCUGCAUUGCGCUUUGGUCGCGUCGAGUUUGAGGCGGGAGCGAUGGGCUGAGACGCCGGAUUCGGUGCCGCGAUUCUGGAUGAUCGGGGUUGUUAUCGGGAGAUUUUAGGCGAAGGAGUGCUUCGUUGCUCCUUUUGGAAGCUUUCGAGCUCGUGUGCUGUGAAUCGCGCGCGUGCGGUUCCUUCAUUCUCUCGCUAGCCUUUUGGUUCGAGAUCGUCCACCGCGUCGCCUCCACUUUCGUCGGUAGCUCGUGGACUCUGCGCUCGUGUUUCGUGGUGUUUUGCUGCUUCGGAAGCUGAACCAAAUAAACCUGAAACUUCGUGAAUGAUGAAGAGGUCACUUUAGUGUCGCUCCGUGUUAUUUGGUCUCGUGCAGCGUAUACCGAUGCUCACAAAACUGUGGGAAUGUGAUUGCGUCAGCGUUGUUGUUUUGUUAAAAUGAAUGAAAAUUUUGUGCUUAGUAUCUUAGUUGAUCUCUGCAAUGGUGCUAACGAAUGGAAAGUGUGUCUAAAGAAUUCUUAAUCUCGUUAAUUUGAUUAUCUAAUAGAAAUUGGGAAAAAGAUAUUAGCUCAUUUUAGCCGGUAAGCUUGUAGACCAUGUAUAUUGUUCAGUUUUGUACGCACUAAUUCCGUUUGCUAAAAACUUAUAGGAGAAGGAAGCCCUGGCAAAUGUAAAUUUUUGCGAUCUCUUAAGCCGCAUCUGGAAUAUGGGGAUUUGGCUUGAUGCCAGGAAGUGAAUAGUUUAUUCUUAUUGUUAAUAAUAUAAUUGCUACUGCUAUUAUUCUCAUUAUUUUCAUCAUUGCUAUUCUUUGUAUUAUACUAAAGCUGGAUAGAGUCUUUAGUGAUCUAGCUUUUAAGAGGACUGAAAGAGGUUAUUUAGGAUUCAUAUAGUUUGGUUUUUCUAGCCGUAUAAGUGAUUUUCCUUCAAUUUAAAGGAAGCUUUCGAUCGAAACUGAAGAUGGGGAUUUUGAGAUCUGUAUUAUUAAUUGUUUUCAUUGGUUGAAUGCUGUUUGUAAACCAAUUACCUAUGUAGUCCAAUACUGGGAUUAUUAUAUUUGUACUUGGCCUGAAGUUACAAAUGUGGAUUGGCAAUCAAAUUUUAUUGGAGCUUGUGUUAUCUACUUCCCUCCAUCUAAUUGAUGCUAUGACCUGCUUUUGUUAGUCCACCACAGUUUGCUACUUGGGUUCGAUCUGAUUGUAUAAGCUUUCUUUUUGCCAUAAGCUUUCUUUGUUGUAAUAUUUAAUUCACAUCAAAUUGUGACUGGUCUAUGGAUAUAAUUCUAACCAUCAUAUAAAUGUCAUUGCAGCAGACACUUGAGCCGCUCGAGUUCGUCUGACGAGGCCCAGGACCGCGAAGUGCGCAAAGAAGCAAAACUACCCAUCUCCUCCCUUCUCUGGUUCGUGCUGAUUCCUCUUCUUUUUGCAUGGGUUCGUGUGCUUUUUUGCAUAUGAAUCUUAGGAUUGAAACUGGGUUUGCUGCAUGUGGAUAUGAAUAAGAGAUUGGAGUUGGUUUUGCUGCUCGUGGGUAUGAAUAAGAGAUGGGUAGAUUCGCCUAUCUUUGAAUUUUCUGUCAAAUGCCGUCUCUGUUUCAUUCCUAGUUAUUAUGAACAAAUAGAUGGGGCAUUGAUUGGUGGGAAUGUUUUUUUGCUUGUAAUAUAUGGUUGCUUGUAAAAUUUUAUAUGAGGAUUAUUCUCUUUUUGCUUGAUGUGAUAUCGACAUCAAAGUCUAUGCGCUUGAACUGGUACACCAAUUGAUAUGGCUCAUUUGAUGCUCAAGUAGUUAAGGUUAAAUGGCUUCCCACAAAGAGGUUUGUAUGGCAAAGUGGAUUGAGCCUUUGACCAAUGAGCUUGUAAGUUUGUUGGUAACAGAGGUAAUAAAGGGAAAUCUCACCACUUCUACCUUCAACAAAACAGGAUGGAUUAACAUACAUGCCGAAUUCAAUAGAUGGAUGGGACUCAACUUUAGUAUAAUUCAGUUGAAAAACAGGGUCAACAAACUGAAGAAACAAUAUAGUAGUUUUAAGAAACUUUUGUCACAAUCUGGAUUUGGAUGGGAUAAUAUAAACAAUAAGGUUGAUGUGGAUGAUCAAAGUGUGUGGGAGUCUCACAUCAAGGUAUCAAUUUACCAAUGUCAUUUUGUUCAUAUUGUAUUGCAAGCUUUGAUUAUAUUGCCAACAUCUGUCAUUAUUGUAUAAAUUACAGAAUAAUAGCGAAUGGGCUAAAUUCAGAAAUGAUGGGUUUCCUCAGUAUCUUGAUUUGUGUAUCGUGUUUGGUGAUACAUAUGCUAUUGGGAACUAUGCAUCAGGAAAUGCAGAAGAAGUGGUAGUGUCCUCUGAGAGAGAUGACAAUGGUGGUGACAAUGGUGAUGGUGGUAGUGGUUAUGCAGUAGGUGAUCCAGAGGAAUUUGAUGAAUAGCGUAUUGAUGAGGAGGCCUUCAUUCCUGAUACGACUACUACCUCCAAUCUUAAGAAACACAAGCAGGAUAUGACUCCAAAUUCUAAGAGGAGGAGGAAGAGUACCAGAUAUGAUGUUAGUGACACCUGCAAAGCCAUUCAAGAAAUGAUUAAAAUCAGGACGGCUCAAUCAACAAGUGGCUCUGUGACCUCAGAUGCCCCAUCAACUGUAGACCCCUACUCCACAGCAGCCGUGGUUGCCGUCUUAAAUAGUAUGCCUAAUUUAGAGCAGAAUAUUUACAACAAAGCUAUGAACCAAUCAUGUCUUAAUGCCAGUUGGAGAGUGGCUUUUAUCAUAAUGCUACCUGAAAGGAGACGUGGAUUUCUUGAAUCUCUUUAAACAGAUGUUGAGUAGUAUGCUAUGGAUUUAUAUAUUUUGUUUAAUUUCACUCUAUGACUUAUGUAUUUGAGAUACUUAGGUCUUUUUAUGAUGCAAUUAUGAAAACUUUGUGGCUAUUGUUGAUUAUUAUUAGAUUCCUUACUUAUAUAUUGUGUUUAUAUAUAUAUAUAUAUAUAUAUAUAUAUAUAUAUAUAUAUUUAUUUUUUAUUUUUUUCAUGUGAAGGCAUAGGUAAUAUGAAGGGGGAUGAAAGUAGCAUGUGUAGUGAUCAAGUAGCAACAGGUGAAUCGGUUGAACCAAUCUUUGAUGAUUUUGAUAUUGAUAUUAUGAUAGCAUGGUUAAGCAUGGUUGCGGUGGAUAUGUCUUUGCAUUCGAGAGAACCUAUUAGGGAUAGCAUAUUGUCAGGACCCGAAUGGAUGAUGGAGGUUCUUCAAGGACAUUCAGAUAGAAUAUAUGAAUCUUUUAGAAUGGAGAGACACGUUUUUCUUAAUCUUUGUGAUUUGAUGAAAGCAAGAAGUUGGUUGAAAGAUAAUUGAUAUAUAAAGGUAGAUGAACAAAUUGGGAUAUUCUUAUUUAUGAUUUGUCACAAGAACUCGAAUAGAACUUUAUGCGAGAGAUUCCAACGUUCGAGACAAACUAUUAGCAAAUACUUCACUAUAGUGUUGCAAGCAGUUCUCAAACUUGCAAAAGAGAUUAUCGUACCGCCUUCCUUUGAUGUGGUCCCAAAUGAGAUUCUUAUGGAUCCCAACCAUAAACUUUAUUUCAAGGUAAGAUUUUCAUACAUUCAUUUACAAUAUCGGUUUCAUUUUGUUGCUAAUCUUAUAUAACACUAGUCUUUGAUAAAACGAUGGGAUUGUGUGGGCACUAUUGAUGGUACUCAUGUUCAUGCUUCUAUACCUUUGUCGAAGCAAAUUUCAUUUAGAGGCAGAAAAGGAGGUACCACUCAAAAUGUAAUGUGUGUAUGUUCGUUUGAUGUGAAAUUCACUUUUGUGUAUACUAGUUGGGAAUGAUCUGCCAACGAUUGUCGGGUGUUAUCAGCAGCACUUGAGACUCAUCGAUUGGAAUUUCCUCGACCUCCACUAGGUAUUUUUACUUGUUUUAGAAUUAUCAAUUUUCUUUAAGAUUGUAUUGUAUUUACAAAUCACUACUAAUAUAUGAAUAUUUUGUUAUAGGCAAAUACGAUGUUGUAGAUUCUGGUUAUACAUCAAUUACGGGAUUCUUAACUCCUUUUAGACGCGAACGGUAUCAUCUAAAUGAGUAUAGGGGUAGAGCAAGACGAUCAAGAACAGCAAGAGAGUUGUUCAAGUAGAGGCAUUCUUCACUAAGGAAUGUCAUUGAGAGAUCAUUUGCGGCAUUAAAGAAUCGCUUCUUUAUUUUGAAACACAUGCCUGCAUUUGCAAUUCGAAAGCAAGCACAUGUUGUAAUUGCAUGUUGUGCUAUCCAUAACUACAUCCGUGAUCAAGACGGGAGGGAUAAAAACUUUUCCUUAUAUGGAGAUCCAGAGUACUCAUGUGAAUCUGUACAAGAUGAGGUUGUAGGUGAUACAUCGACAGGUGAUACAUCGACCAAGGAGAAAAUUGAGAUGAAUAUGCUUAGAAAAAAUAUUGCCAAUAAGAUGGCAAGGGAUCAUAAUAUGCCGGAGAUUCCAUGAAAUCGUGUUUUUAAUUUUUGUAAUGUAUUUCUAUUAUUUUGUAUUUGGGGAUUUACAAUCUUUGCUUUUGUAUUGUGAUAAUGUAUUUGAUGAUUUCUAUCUCAAUUCUUGUAAUGUGAUGUUCUACUUGAUGAUUUCCCUUAUUUGUAAUAGUCCUUGUUACACUUCGUAAAAUUCGCCGAUUUUGUAAAAUUUGCCGCAAAUUACCCAAUACACUUCUUUGUGUUUCUUUCUAAAACGAUUGCUCGAUAUCGUAAACCGUGGCAGCGAUCAACGUGACACACUAGCAUGAAGGGGAUUAGAAUAUGGUUGCCCGCCUUCAUUCUACUAGAAUUUUGGGAACCUUCUAUCAUGCUCAAGAGUAAUGCAUAUUGAUCUCUUUUUUCUAUUGUAUGAAGACUAUUGAUAAGUAUAUUGUUUGACCGUAAUUACCUAUCUACGUGGAUGCUAAAAAAUUUUGUGUGAAAAUUUACAAAAUUUGAUAUAACAUAUCUUACUUUGUAUUUUUUUUUUUUUUUGCAAAAAAGAGAGACUUUACUAUAAAAAAAAAAGUCAUACUUUGUAUUUGGGUCAAUGGUUUCAUAAGCAUAUGAAAUUUGUAAGAAUGUACAUCUCAUUUGCUCCAAAAAAAGAAAAAUUUGUUUUAAGAAAUAUAAAUUUUAUUCAGUUAUCAAACGAAUUUCUAUUUCUGAAACAGAAAUUUUGUAUCAUUAUUAAACAGAUUUUUUUCCUCAGAAACUCGUCCAGAAAUAGAAAUAGAAAAAUUCAUUUCUGUUCCAGAAACUAUUUCUCGCCCUCUACACUACUUUCUUGGCAUUGAAGCCAAAAAUACUUCCGAUCACCUAUUUCUUUGCCAGACUAAAUAUGCCAAAGAUCUUCUUACUCGAGCUCAUAUGCUUGAGUGCAAACCAAUUACUACUCCUAUAUCACUAAAACCAAUUGUUCUGAUAAAUGACUCUGCUCCACUCUCCAAUCUUGCAGAAUAUCGAAGCUUAGUGGGUGGUCUUCAGUAUCUGACUUUAACAAGACCUGACAUUGCAUAUGCCACAAAUCAGCUGUGUCAGAAAUUACAAAAACCCAUUGUUGCAGACUUACAUAAACUCAAGAGAGUUUUAAGAUAUGUCAAAGGCACUAUAAGUCUUGGAGUCUUUAUUCACUCUCGCAGCUCUCUCCAUCUGUAUGGGUUCUCAGAUGCAGAUUGGGCAGGAUGUGUUGAAACAAGAAGAUCAACAACAGGGUUUUGUACAUACCUUGGCUCCAAUCUCAUAUCUUGGGCAGCAAAGAAACAAUCCACAGUCAGUCGAUCCUCUACAGAAGCUGAGUAUCGUGCUCUUGCUUCUACAUCUGCUGAACUUACUUGGAUCAGCUUCGUCCUACAGGAUAUAGGAUGCUCAUUGACUCGUCCAACACAACUCUUUUGUGACAAUAAAUCCGCCAUUUCUCUCACUAUUAAUCCUGUCCUACAUGCUCGCACCAAACACAUUGAGAUAGACUUUCAUUUUGUUAGGGAAAAAGUCUCAUCAGGGUCACUACAAGUGAAAUAUGUUCCAAGUAACUAUCAACUUGCUGAUAUAUUCACAAAACCUCUCUCUCGUAUUACACAUUAUCAGCUACGAAUCAAAUUAGGAAUCGGUUUCUUACCCAUUCCCAAUUUGAGGGGGGCUGUUAAGAACAGUGAGAACAGAAGCUCCUCAUCUGAUACUAUUACCGAUACCAGGAAGAAUAGGGGAAGCAAGAUAUACAAGAGCAAUAAAGAGAAAACAUAUGAAGAAGAGGAAGUAGAGUAUAUACAUGCUGCUGAGAAGAUAUGCUGCUGAGAAGAAUGAGAAGAGAACCUAUUUCGAACACUCUAUAUAGUGCUGCAAGUCUUGGCUAGUCUUGACAGUUAGUCUAGUGUAAUUCAGUUCUGGAAGUUAGUUUUUGCUUCAGUUAGUUAGUUAUAUUUUCUUCAACUGAUUCAAUACCUGUAAAAACAGAUUUCAGAGAUAGUCCUUGUGUAUAAAAGGCUAACUCUCGAUUGAAUGUUAAUAAUGAAAAGGAAAGAGAAAGAAGUCUUUCAUCUCAAGAUCUCUCUACAGAUUCUUCAUCCCAAUUUCUUCUUUGCGCAUAAACUUCUUCAAUGGAGCACGGUAAACUGUGCCUAAAAGAAACGCACCACCUCAGAUUUAUUCAGAUCAGGAUCAGUAAUCAUCGUCCUGUCCUCGCAAGUCGGGGAUCGAAUGGUAUUACGGUGCUAUUUGCGCUUAGAGUCCAGAAGGCCAUCAGAAGCAGACCAGGAAGGAUUAACCCCAAGCCGCUCUUCCGGAUGUCGGGCAGCACAAAAUUCCCUGAGCAACACCACGGGGCACCAGGUAAAUCAGCAGCCAGGAAUUCAAUGCGAUCCCCCAAAAGGUGGCGAUCACCAUCCUUAUUUUACCCAUAGACAGAAGCAGCACAGAAGCUAAUGACGUCGGCCACAGUAUGAACAGAUAGAUGAAUCGACUGAGAAACAACCGAAAGCACAAAAACACUGACCCCUUUCGGAUUCUAACACAUCCUCGAUUCGUCCUUACCCCUGUAUCCUAAAACAUCCGUGUUUUGAGUAUAUUACUUGCGCAUCUCCACCCCCACCUAUUUCGAAAACUAGUUUGGUUGACUUUACGUAGAAACCAUGUCUCAUCAUAAUGACGUAGAAAGAGAGACAUUUGGAUGAACAAAUGGCUACUUGGAUCACAUCAACAUGCUUGAGGGUGCUAAAUAUUCACACUUUACUAAGUCUGAUUGUGCACUCAUAAUUUACAUAAUGUCGUAUGACAGACGUUAGAAAAUCAUCAUACGCUGCUUUUGUUAGAUGCACUUCUUACAUGUUUUGAGUUCACAAACUGCAAUACCAUAGAAGCAUAAUUUACACUCGCAUCACUAAUUGAAUCACCGCACACGAUCUUGUCUAUUUUUCACUUAAGGCCUAAGCUAGCUAAAUGGUACAUACGAAAUUUGAAGCUUUAUGAUAUGCUAAUCCUCACCAAAAUUACCUACGACAUAAUUUCCAAAUUUAUCCUUGCCAUAGCCGCGAAACUAACCAUAGUCAUACAUGAACCCCAAAUAUAGCUAACAGGUCAUAAUCUUAUCGGAUGUUAUCAUGUAUUUCCAUGUGCCACAAGCCGGCACAAUACAUAGUGUACUCAUAAGCUUCACAACUUGCCAUCAAAUGAUUAGGUGGGUCUACAGCACUCGGAAAGAGCACAUUUAGAGCUCAUAAUGACACUAGGGUCGAAUAAUAUUAGCAAUAUCAACCAUAGACUUCAAAGCAAGGUCGGAGAGAUGUCCAUGGGAAAGGGAUUGCCGAGCAUGUUGUCCAUGUAGUAAUGAGGGUGAGUGGCAUCCAUAACCACGAAUUGCAUGUCCUCCGAUGGCUUCCAGUGCCUCUUCCUUUGGUUGAUGAACCAGUUGUUGAUUUGCUUCUGAUCUAGUCCAGUUGAUUCUGCUAGAGCUAGUUUCUGUGAUUCCUGUCAUUUCGAAUAAGACCCGAGAAAAAUUUUAACACCCAGUGAUGCAAAAUGAGGUAACUUAGGUGCUCAGAGUCCAGAGUCAAUUGGCAUUGGCAAGCAAAGUAUGCACACAAACCCAGUAUCAGGGUGAGGCAGAACAUGUGAUUCAUGCAUGUCGAGUAAGCAUUACAAUUCUCUGUCAUAUAUCAGCAGGGCAAAAAUUCUGCCAGUGAAAUGAGAUCAUUUAUAACCCAUAACUUAAUGAAUUACACUAAGUGGCAGCGCUAUCUCAAUUAUUCAAGGUGACAGAUUUCUUUGAAUGCAACAUCUCCAGUCUCCAUUUAGGGGCUACAUUCUUUAGUAAAGAAUUUUUCUAAAGAACUAAUUUGUAAAGUACACAGCCAGCGCAAAGAAUUAUUUUUUCACUAGAAAAGACAUCACGUGGGCGGAAAAUAGUAGUUCUGAGCCAUAACCAACCAAUUUAUUAAAGAAGCACAUUUCAUCUCAAGCCAUUCCAUAGAUUAGUUGAUAUGACAACCACUAAGCUUGUUUUAUCAUAUAAUCCAUUUAGAGGGACUUUCUUUCUAUGUGUCAUCAAAAAGAGUGGUGGAGUUUAAGAGUGUAGAUGAAUACUGAUGGGUAAGGCCAUUUGUAGUGUCGACUCCACCAAUCAAGCAAUUGUUGCCGGGCCUCUUUCGGGAGCUUCCCCUUCUUCCUCUUUUUCAUGAACUCCUGCUUGAGGCUACCAAGAUAUCCGCUGUACUUCCGCAAGAGCUGAGUCUUGAGCUCUCUGUCCUCUGCUUGGGGGUCAAUGAAGUUGUUCACAUCAUCUUCUUCGGACGAGCCAUUCCUAUCAAAAGCCUCACUCAAAGCCACUGGCAACAUGAACAAGCACAGUAAGCAUUUUGUGAAGUCUAUGUUGCCAAAAAAAUCAAAUCACAGACAUGCACUGGUAACAGUAGAUUCGUCACUGGAUAACAAAAAUAUAAUAGCACAUUGCACAAGAUCAAGAAUACAUCACAUCACAUUCAGUGGUGUUUAUUGGGUAUUUCUACUAAUUUAUAUACAAGUACCUUGACCUUUGAUAGGAUUUUUCUGGAAGACUAUCUUCUGGGCCAACAUAAUUACUCCAAAUUGGAUAUCAUGGUUUAAAUUCAAAUAAACUUGUCAAGUAAAUUGUCCAAUACGGUUAUUUAGCAACAGAAUGGGAAAAUUUUCUGGAGUUCAAAGUACCAUUUCAUCAUUAGUAAGAAACAAUUCAUAUAGAGGCAAACAUUAAUAACAUCAAAUCGAUUUUUUAUACGCACUUUUAGGAACUGGGAACUUCCAAGCAUUUUAUUUAAUCAUGCAUCAGGUAGCACAAGGUUACAAGAUUGAACUCUGCCACACACUGAGAUAUGAAUAAAGGAUUCUGCUAAAUUAUAGAAAAAGUUCCAUUGCUACCAACCGCUCAAAAAAACCAUGUAAAUCCAAAUAUGCUUAUAAUAUCAAACAAUAGUACAUAAUAAGCCCAAGCAAGUGAUACGAAUGCAUUACAUACAUUCUUUUUAUAAGGAAAUAGGAAGUAAGGUCAAGAAAUACAUAAUGAGUGACUUCUUAAUUUCCUCUCAAAAUAACUACAACACAAGCUAAUUCUUUGACUCGUCAUUAUCUAAAAACAAAUGCUUCAUAGUCCAAUACAAGGCUUCUAACCUAUUCAGUCAGAUAUUUUCCUUUCUAUAUGAUAAUGAGAAAUGCUAUUUCAAUUAUCAUAGAUCACAUGUUCAGUGACUAUGCCACGAGUAAUUAAGGCAUUUCAAACAUUCUGAGCUCCUCUUAGACCAUGUUAUAAUGGGCCGCCAAAAGUUCUAAGUAAUGUCGAGAGAGAGAGAGAGAGAGAGAGUCCUUGACGGUAAGUAAGGCAAUCACUACGCAUGACAAAAAUCCAACAUCAUAUAUAAAUCUUUGCAUGAUUGUCACUCCCAUGAAAUAAGAGCUUGAGACACUACAAUUAACAUUGAGCAAGCAAUUUCCUAGUACAAGGGUUGGCCAAAUUAUUGUUUCACUUACACAUUUUAAUUGUCAAAAAAAAGUUACAUGAUGCAUAUAUCUAUAGCCAGAAAAGUGGAAAUUGAGGCUGUCUCCAUGAAUGCAAGAUCAUGUUGCAGUAAUGAUCAGGAAGGAAAAGCAAAUUACCUAAGUUAUGUUGUUGCCAUCGGACUUGCCUUAUUUACCUUUGGAUAUUUAAUCCGCAGGCUACUGUAUUUUAGGAUUUAAUCUAAAACACCAGUUACUAUAAAGGAAUCAUUCUUCUAUGAAGAGGAUGAAUGCAAUUGAUAAAUCUAAAAGGUAUGUGUCUCCAUCUAAAAACUACAUAAGGAAAUACUUUUUUCCACCGUCGGAAACAAAGUAAAAGUUCAAAAUUGUUUUCAUUAUGCUUAAACCCUUAUCAAGCUCUACUCGAGUGGCUUAGAGACCUACUGAAAUGUCCUUUUUCACUACAUGCAAAAAUUACAAAGUGUCGUGGUUUUAACUUAAAGGUGAAGCAUAAAGCUAUGCUACAACAUGUUUGUUUUGGAGUUGAGCCAAACAAAAAGCUCCUUUUGAGUUUUCCAUCAUAAUGAAAAUAUACCGUAAAGAAUUAUGGAAGAUUUUUUAGGCGAAUUACAUAUAUGUACAUGUAUAUGUAUACUUUUUUAGCAUUUGGGACAUUCUACGUUGAAUAAAAGUUAAUGCUCAAAAGCCAAAGCAAUGCCAAAAACCCAGCAAGAGGGUUGUUAGCAGUGUCGCCUUUAGCUUUCGGUUUUCAGGUAAAAAUUCACGCUUAUAUUUUCUAUUAAUCGCCUCAAAUAUUUAUAUUACUAGCAUCUAAAUCACCUAAAACCUUUUCAUAACAAAUUACGCACCCCCAAGAAGACAAAAUGCACACUCCUUAGGCAAAACAUACAAAAUCUUAUGUGCUAGAUAAUGUCUUUUUGUGGUCGUUAGUGUAGAAAUAACAAAUGAUCGUGUGCCCCUAGGAUUAUGUGUACCAGUUUCGCUAACAUUUUGCAUAUCUAGCAUCACUCUAAUAAAAAUAAUGUCGACCAUGCAGAAAGACCUUGUCAUCAAAUCAAAUCUGUUAUUGUGUAUGCUCAACAAUGUUUCAUAAUUUUAUAAUCAGAUUUCAGACAGAUCUUCGUUUCCAAGGCUCAACCUGCAAAGAUGAGACUUGUGAAAUAAAACCGUAAGUAGCAUAAAACAAGUGGUCAAUGAGGUUGCAAUAUUUGACAGAAACUAAGAGGAAAAACUCCAUGGUACAUACAAACACCGAGAAGACCUUGCAUUAAGAAAAACUAAAAAAUUCAAAUAAAUCUCACUUAUUCUAAAUAAAAGAACUUGAUGAGAUUAGAGACUUGCAUUAAGCACAUUGAAGAGAGUAAACGAGAAGGACACACCAAAGGGCAGGACAAUAACUGAUGAUCCUCUACAAAAUCUCCUAUGCCCGUUGCACUGAAUAUAAACUAAAGUAAGUAAAAUGGAGAAUAUCUUCGUGCCAAAAAUUGCCAUGUCAAUUAACCGCACAAUGAGUGUGUUGGCAAAAAGUGCACAAUCGUCCCGGCACAUGUAAAUUCAUCAACUGAACCGAUUUUGAAACUGAGUGUAAACUUGUAUAUAAACAGAUGGCUCAAAAGAAGAUGCUGAGUUAUAAAUGGACCUCUAGGCUGCCUUGAGGUUCACACACAUGCGCAACAAAGCAUAAGUCAAACCUACAAAAGAUUCUCUUGAGCACAUAAUGGUAGACCACAGAUUAUGAACCAAAAAUAGUGCGUUUUGAAAUUUAUUAAUUGUGCCUGCAACUGAGAGAACCCCUGCUAGUAGAUCAUCCAAAAUUGAGAUGUUGCACCCCAUUAUAAUGUGUAUUGGGAAGCCAUUGGAUGCGAGAUGAACAUAUAGAAGAAUUAUUUGAACAAUCUUUUUUCUACUCAUAUAUACAUAUAUACAUGUGUAUCUACAUAUAUCCAACUAUGAAUGAGAUGCCAUAGGUAUAAUUGAUCAGUUCCUAAGAGCGUGGAGAGAAAAAGUCCACCUUGGACCUUAAAAAAUCAGCAAAAGCUACACAUAUGAAUGCAUUCAAGAGUAGAAUAAAAGGAGGCAAUUUAAAUAGAAUUUGUCAAAGAAAGUGAGUGAGCAUUUACGCUCAACUGAUCCAAACCCUAAAUAUACAGAAACCCUAGAUCAAAUUAACCAUUGCCAACUCAUAUCUACUAACUGCGAUUUCAAUGAGCACGCAUAAGAAAUUUUCUUUUUAGUUCACGUAAGUUAUUCCUAUUGUGCUUUACCCAUCAGAGAACCAAAUAUUAUUUCUAGAAAUUUGACAGUUGACAUGAAAAAUCCCCCGAGUUUUAGCCAUUUUGAAUGAACCACCGAUUUGUAGUUCAUGUAAAACUGGAGGACAAGCAUUUCCAAUUCCCAAGAUAACUAUAAAAGUGCAAUACGAAAGGCCAACACAGAACUACUAAAUAGUCAUUAAUAGUACAUAGGAGAAUGCACGAGAACAAAGAGAAAACCACAUUAUACACACAAAUUCCGAGAAGAGAGAAACGGCAGUAACAGUUGUUGUGCCAUUCUUCUUCAUUCCAUGAAGAGAAACAUCGUACGUUAAUUAAGAAAAAAGCCUAGCACUCGCACAAAAGCAAAGUUAUAUAACCGAGAACGAAAGGCAUGAGAAGCAUAUUAACCCGAAAGCAAAAGCACACUCUAAGAAGAAGAACAAAGAAACCACCAUUUUGAAAACCGAGCUCUUCCUAGUUCCCAUACGCAUCUUCAUAGUUCACACGCAUGGGGGUUAAACAUGAAAACCAAAUAAAAAUGGGGAAAGAAAAAGGACGACUUCCCCAAAUCGAGCUCGUGACUGUUUCCAUGUAAAAGGUCGAGUCAGGAUUAUAUCCCAAACCUUUAAAGGCACUAGUUAGGGUCGCAAAUAAGAUGAUAGAUAAAUUAGUACCAGAAUCAGAAGGAACACCAAGAGUAAGGGCUUUGAAUUGGCACUCGAUCCUCUGGAGGAAGAGCAUGGCCUCUUUGAAGGGUUUGGAGAGUUCUUGCUCGUACUUAGUCAGCAUCUCACAGUAGGCCUCCAUGAACUGGUCAAGAGCUGGGUCUUCACCAAUGCAACCUGUGUUGCUCAUGCCGCUGUUCCCGGCCAUUAUCGCAGCCGAUGCACACGCUUCCUCUAGCUUUGCCACCACGCCAGGCGGAGCUCCCACCUAUAUGUAGGUAAUAAUUUAACGCCAUAGUAUUACAACACUUCUUAUAGAAACUGUCGGGAUCUUCUUGUCGAGAUCGCCCGAAAGGGUCUCCAAAGAAUCCCCUUCGGACUUCAGAGUGUCUCCUUCCAUAUUGCUAAACAACAACCCGCGCAGGUAUGACUAUAUAUUAUACAAGAAAGAGAAGGGAAAAUAAAUUGUUUAUCAGGGAAGUAAUGAACUACGUUCUUCGAGAUAUGACUGCCGUCGGCUUUCACAAAAAAUUUCUUCAAAGGGAAAAAAUGCAAAAGAAACAACAACUCUAACCCUAUCAAGUCGCGGUCGUCCCAGUUUGACUAAAUUAACACCCAUAAAGAAAUAAGAAAAGGAAAAGCCAUGCUUGAGUGUGACAGAAAGAACUCUUUUUUUUCCCCUCCUCGGGUCCUUAUCUUUUCUCUUUAGUUGUUUUUGAGGAGACAAUUAGCUUCUUUUCUCACUGGUAUGAACAUCUGAACAAAGAACGAGCAUAGCCAGAGAGCGGGCGAGAGAAAGUAGGGUUUUUCGCUUUUCUUUCACCUUCUGACAAUUGACAUAAGCUGAGAGAAGGCGGUGGUAGUGAGGAUGAGCCAUGAUCUUGGCCUUGACAUCGUUGUCCAUGAAGAAACAACCUGAGCCUGAGCCUGAACCUGAACCACCCGCGUUGUUGUUGCUAUUGUUGUUGCGGUCGUCAAGAAUCGGAGAAGAACCGCUGCUGCUAUUACGAGCUGUUUGGUCAAGAAAGUACUGGUGGGUGCUUGUGUUUAGGUUUUGAUGAUGGUGAUGGUGAUGAUGAUGAUGUUGAUGAUGGGGAUGGGGAUGGGAUGAUGAGGUGAUGGUGUUGAUGGGCAUCAUCGUCAUCAUCAUUGGGCAUAGCCCAUCACCACCACCACUGUGGUGACCGUUCUCUCCAAAAGCCAUCAAACAGGAAGGCGAAUUAGUGCUGUUUGAACCGCCCUCCAUUCCACAGUGUAUGGCCUAAUGCAAAACCCUUUUCCCUCUGUCUCUCUCUCCCCCUCUAGAGAACGAAAGGGUGAUGAUGAGAUCCUUUAUGUGUGUGAGUUUUAGCUCCUUUAAAAAGACUGAGUGGGAGUGAAACAAACAACACCCAGUUUGGUCUCCCGAGUUUUGUGCUUACACAAAGUUCAGGCCUUUUCACAGAAGAAAGAGAGAAGGGGAAAAAAGCAAAAAUCCAUCAAAUAGUGGCCCUCCUUUCUAGUGGGUCGUCAGAUUGAUACAUGCACUAAUAUCAGCCCUCUCUCUCUCUCUCUCUCUCUCUCUUUCUCUGAGGGCGUAGCCUGCUCAAAAUAUUUUUCUUUCGAGAAUGGGGGAGUGUUCUUUAACCUUUCUUUCACUGCAUCAUCGUCUCUCUCUUCCUCUGUCUGCUCAUUCACAGCAUUAAUCUCUCUCUCGUCUUCCUUUUUCUUUCUCUCUCUAUCUCUGUGUGGGCGGUUUUUGAUUGAGAGAGAGAGAGAGAUGAAAAUGCACGCGUUUUGGGUAAGAGGAAGGAGAGGGAUUACUUAUCUUGAGGGACUUUUUAUUACCUUCCCGAUGAAAACUCUCUCUCUCUUUCUCUCUCUAUGUUUGCCAGUCGAAAAUGGCAGUGUAUCAGUGGCAGUGCAAGAAAAGAGGGAGAGAGGGAGAGAGGGAAUUUUUUUCUUUACGGAAAUUAAUAAAAGCAAAUUACGAGGAGAAAGGAGGGGGAGGGCGGGGGGAGAGAGAGAGGAACGAUCAAAUCGAUGGAAGAGCCAAAGAAGAAACAGGGAUAAACUAUUCAUGGAUGAUGGAGGGGAAAGGUUCCUUGGGCACGAAAGAAUCACACACAAACUCUCUCUCUCUCUCUCUCUCUCUCUCUCUCUGUUUUUUUUUGUGACAGGGGUGUUUCUUCCAUCUGGGGUUUUGAUUUUGCAAUCUGCUGUCCACUCAAUUAAUAUUCUUUCUCACUGCUAAAUGUUGUCUUCUUCCAUCCCCCGAGAUUUGUAUUCUCUUCUUCUUUUCCUUUUAAGAUGGCCUCUUUUCGUGUGAUCUUCUCCUGUGUUGGAGCGGCUGUGUACUUGGAGGGUUUCUUUCUACAUCUAGUAACGUGGUUUUUGGUUAGGAUGCAACCCAUUGUUUUUUAUAGUAUUGACUUUUGAGGGCCCUCGAAAUUUUUUUGAUUCAAUGUGAUAGAUACAGUGAACCGAUUUAUAAUAUAAUGUGUUCUAUAUAUAUAUGGAUGUCCAUUGAUUAUCUUACCAACGGUCUCCUCCUAUGGAAUUUUAGAGGAGUCUUUCCUAAGGCCUCACGGCCAUUUAGAAAUAUACGAGUUCAAUAACGAAUGUUGCUAGACACUGAAACAUUCAGGAAAUUGUUUGCAUAUACAAUCAUGAAAUACCGACGAGUGAAAAUGACUAUCACUUUAUUCGAUUACAUCUAUAUCGAAAAUAAUCAAUUCUAUUGAUGUCUCUUUUACUGAUCUUAAUCAAAACUGAGAACAAUAUUAUGAUGGCUCCUCCAUUUGCACACUUUACAGUUUCUUGUCCAAACUCCAACAUCUUGAAAGCUACCCUACUUUGAGGAAUGAUAUUAGCACGUAGUGUAAGAUUAUCUUGAAAUUGUGAUCUCAGUGGUUUUUUUAUAAUAUAAUUGGUAAUACAUACAUUCUAUUAUCUUAUGUUAGUUUAUUAAAUUUUAUCAUCAAUUUGAUGAAUUGAAUAACACGUGACAGUUAAUAAAUAUAUCAAUUUGAGAUUUUAUUCUCCGUUUGUCACAAGUGUACUAUUUAAUGAUUUUUUUAAUCCAAUUUAACGAAAAUUUAAGGCUUUUAGUAGUUAAAAAUUAGUUUGAAAUAAAUAUGUCACAUAUGUACCAAUUUGUGAUUCUUUGUUGUAAAUAAAUUAAUUUGGGAUAUAUUUGUUAUAAGUAUACUAGUUUUAGAUUUUUCGUGAUAUUAACUCUUUAACUUAUAUAUACGACAUGCUUAAACCACUCGAGACUUAUAGAUUGGAUAAGUCAAUGAGCACCAAACCUAUUUAACUAGUAACUAAGAAAAUGUAAUUAUCCAAUUUAAUAUGUUACCAGACAUAUUAGGAUACAUUUAUAUAAAUUUAUACUUGCACAAGUACAUUUUACAUGUUUAUAUAUGAGUAAAAAUAUCUCAAACGUGCCAUGUUUGGAGAACCUACGCACGAUUCUACGGGAUUAUAGCAUGAAAAUAAGGAUCAUCAACCUAAUUCUAACUGAACGACAAUUAAAUGGAAUCUCAAAUAAGAUAUCUCUGGUCCAUUACAUAACAUUAUGAACAGAGAUACUCCUAUUUUUAAGGGUGUUUUUCCCAAGUGCCUCGAUAACCUAAUCUUGGGAAAGAAAAUUUACGGAGGGAUGGAUGCAAUAACUACAGAAUAGUUGAACAAGAAGAAUCUCAUGAUAAGCGUUGCGUUGACAAGUUCGCAAUGUCUUUUAAAAAAUAACUUUUAUUACUUUCAGUUUCUUUCCAAGCUCCAGAGAUGAAAAUAUGUACUUGAUAUAAUCAUGUGAAAAAACUAAAUAACUCUGUUCCCUGCUUCGUCAUUUAAUAUUAGGCGUUCAAUAUAAAAACAAAAUCAAAUUUCACGUGCUAUCAAAAAAAUAAAAUAAAAAACACAAAACAGAAUUACAAGAAUACUGACACCAUCUUCACCUGAGAUUUGAAAAGAGAUGGAUCACACUCAUUAUUAGUCCUCUCUUCUCGUAGCAUUCCACCUUUGCAAUAAUUUACCAGGGAAAAGGAAAGGGUGGGGUUUCAGCUAAAGGAAAAAGCUGAUAAAGCGAGUGGGACACUCCGAAUGUCUCUUCAAUCUACCUAUUCUUCUACACUCCUUAUAGUUAUAGCCUGUCCUUCCCUUUUCUUCAUUCUUUUUCAUUAUCAAUUCGUCUUCUGUCUCAUGUGAUGAUACAGGUAUAUCAAUAAGUUGGAAAAGCUCUUGAUGCAAGUGCCCCCAAAAAAUGUCAUCCAGCUUGAUAGAAAUUUAUUCUAAAAAAAUUAAGAGAUUGCACGACUUUAAAGUUCCGAUAAUUUCACCGACAGUGUCGCAUGCAAAUCAAACUAAGAAUGACAUAUAAAAAUAAAUAAAAUACUAUGUAGAAUUAUUAUUAACUAGUUCAAAAAGUUUUUAUUGCGUGAUUUAAUAUUUAAAUAUUACGACACUUUCUAUUAAGUUUAGGUUGGGAUUUCAACUAAAGUUAGGAUCUCUAAGUUUGAUGCCCUCCGGAAAUAAAUGAGAAUACUGUUGACUACAUGAAACAUUAAGGCAUUGAUAAAGAGAGACUGUAUGUAUAGAAAAUCCAACCAAAUUUCAUAGGCAAGUGUUGUGGGAUGUUUUAAUAGAACUCGUCUAAUGUUGUUUUUAAGUUUGCAUUGAACCCAUAAUACAAGGAGAAUUACUAGAUCAAUUCUAAACUUAUUAUAUAAAUUCCAAUUUAGUCUUAAAACUUAAUUUUCGUUGGAAAUUGAUGACAUGUCUGUGUGUUACAUAGGAUGAUCGACAAUGACUAACCGUCAAAUUAACGAUUUUCAGUUAAAAUUAGCUAAAGUGAUUAUAUUAGAAUUUCGCAUGAAGGUUUAAGACUAGAUUAGCAAAAUUGGAAAGCUUAAAACUGAAUUUGUAUUUAUACGACGUGUUUAUGAUUGAUUUGAUAGUUUCCCCCUACAAUACAUAUAAGACAACUUACUUUUGCUCAUUGAGUGUAAAUAUCUAAAGCGCUAUUUUGCAAAUUUGAUUGCAAAUAUCUAAAUCGAUCCUGAUGGAUAAUUUGUAAUUGAUCGAAGUAAAAAGAGAAUAAUCCAAAAUAUCAUAGAAAUUGAUCCUGCCUUAUAUCAUGUCAUAAUGGAAAGUCUUUUCACAUUUAGAUCUAAAGAAAGCACAUACAUACAUCAUAAUCUAUAUAGGAUAUGAUUGACUCCUACUAUACCUGAUAUAAUUGACUUUGCCUACAAAAAGUUACAUAGUGGAACACAAAGCAAUAAUUACGCGGUGGAAAUAAGUAUCUUGAUAUAUUUUAAUCUAUUAUCAUUCAAAAUAUCUUUAUGUCUAUCUAUUUGUAUCCAUUAGGAAAGCUCGCUUUUGCACAACAUGGGCAUUAAAGGUGAAUAUUAACCAAUAGAGAAGUGUUAUCUUUUCUACUAUAUAAGAACUCCAAAUUAUUCUUUGGAAACUUCUCAUUUUCAUCAUUAAUGAUCCACUCGCCAUGAAACAACACAUCCCAAUAGGGAAAUCCCAAUUCAAUUGACCUAUCGUUACAAUCAAAUAGAUGGACGAAAACUUUGAGAGAACCAUUUUAAAAUAUCAAUAUAGUGAUAAAUAUUGCAUUUAUCUAAUGUUUCAAGUGAUGAGUAGUAAAAUCAUCUCCACAAGAAUGAGAAAAUAUUCAUACUUACGAAUCAUGCGUGGUAAGUGUUAUGUAAUAAAGAGAAAAAAAAAAAUCUACAAUAAGUAGGAGAAUAGACCGACCGGUGUGAAACGAUAGUACAAAAUUCUAUAAUCUCUCUUUUUAAAUAUUUAAAUAAAAAAAAAUCGAAGAAGAAAAUGCGCCAACUAAGUGUAUCCUCGAGUUCUACAAAUUCUAGCUGAAUUGGCAAUUAGAAAACGUGCCAUAAUACAUUCUGUUUCUUACUCUAGGCUUCCGAUUCCCAAGAGACAAAUAUUAAAACUCUAUUUUGCAUGUAAGGGAAAAUUAUAAAUAGUUUAUGAGCUUUAAUUCAAAAUAUAAUACCAUUAUGGACUUUUAAUUUAUUUAAUGUUGUUAUUGAACUAUUAAUAAGUGUUUGAUGUUAUCGUUCUAUUUGCUCAAAUAACAUAUCAAGUGUUAUUCGAUGACAUGAAUUAUUAUAUGUUAAGUUGGCAUUUUAAAAUGAUGAGUUAACAUGUCUAUCAUUUUAUCAAUUUAAUUUAGUGAAGUAAAAAAAAUAAAAAGAAGAAGAAUAAAUUUCACAUUGACUUGAAUUAUUGUAUCUAAAACUGAAAUAAAUAUCUUACCUAAAUGGCCCGCAUAUAAUAUUUUUUUAUUGUUCACCAUUCAAACUUAAUGUCCAUCAACUUGGAUUAAUAAAAUGAUGGCAUUGAACAUUUUCAUAUAAUUUAUAAGUUAAAUUGAACAUUUACUAAUUUUUGUAAGGAUUAUAUUAAAUAAAUUAAAAUUUCAGAAAUGACAUUGUUUCUAAGACCAAAAUGCAGAAACUAUUUGUCUCGCGUAGCAUAGGAUGGUCAUCGUGCUAGCUUCUGUUCACCAGCUCAUCGGACGAGUAGGUUCUUCUUUAAUGAAAGCUUUGAUUAAAUUAAUGCUGGAACCACACGCACACAAUUAUGUCUCCCAGAAUGGCAUUUGUAUGGACUUUAUGUAAUGACUUUCUUUUUCGCUUUUGCUCCCCAGUCAUUUAUCAUCUUUUUCGAUUUUGCCCACUUUAGUUUUUUUCUUUUUUUUGGGUCAGAAAUUGAAACAUUUAAUUAAGUAAGCAAAGAUGAGAAGCCUUGUAAAUGGGCUUCAUUACAUAAAAGAUCCAACAAAGUUUGUGGAGGGGACAAGAUUCAAUUUAGAGGUAAAUAAUUUUUCUUAUGGGCUUUAGCUAUCCAGUCUGCAAUAAGAUUUGACUCUCUAGAGCAAUGGAUUACCUGGGCAUUUGAGAAGGCCCACAUUUUUUCCUUACACUUGCUGACCAUAGGUUAAAUUUUCCAACUUAACUACUAUGAACUGUUUAUCUCUUUAACCAGUUGAGAACUAUUUGACUAAAAAAUAAGGACUUCAUGUUUUUUAGGGAAGAAAAAGUUGAGGGCUUCCCAUAACGCUAGGGUUUCGGCCCCCUUUAGUUUACUUUUAUUUGAUAAUAUUAUUAUUAUUAUUUUGAGAUGACAAUGCUUUUAUGUCGUGGCUGGGCGACCGAUUUAUAUUUUGUGAAGGUUUCACUUUCACAUGUGUCAAAUCUGCGCACACUAAAUCUUUUUUACUCUGAACAGUGGUGUUGAAAACGUCAAAUCUAGGUAUACACGGUCGAAAGGUAAAACCAUAGCAACAUAUAAAAAUCUUAAUGUGUGCUUAGUAUUAAAGACAAAUUCAAUAAUUAGCCGCCCAUUUUGAUACAAAGAAAUCACAAAUCUACUUUUGAGCAUGACUUUAAAUCUUAUUAUGACGAUUCAUUUUCUUAUAUAGAUUUUUUUUUGAAUUUGUCUAAGAAUUAUCUUUGUCUGCAGUUGAAUUAUGUUUCUCUAUUGUAUAUUCAUGGAAAUGAAUGAGAUGCUUUUUCGAAAAAAAUAAAUUAUCAUCGACUAUAAUACUAUUAAAUGAUGAUUAUAUUCUUAAGUUAUGCAUUACAUCCUACUUAUGUUUAUAUUCCCUAGAUUAAGAUGAGAGAAAUCUAUAUAGACAUGAUAUAUUUAAUGUAGAUAAAGUCAGAUCCUUGGUACUAGUUAUACCUAUUCAAAUUUUGCGUUGCUAAUUUUUUCGAAAUUAUAGUUCCCUGACAAACAACAAAAAUUCCUUUUAUAAUCUUUCUUUUUCUUUUUUUUUUUGGUAGAAUAGAGCAGUUAUUUGGUUAGCUUUGAGUUGCGUUUUAUUUAAUUUCUCUUUGAAAGUUCUCUUUUGAUAUAGACAAGGGCAUGGCAUAAGCAAAUGCAAAAAGAAAAAUAUAAGAACACAAUAGAUUAUUUAAUGAAAUUGGUCUACAAGUUGAGCUAAAAAGUAAUAAAGAUUUCCGCUUAUUUCUUUAUCUACAAAUGAGAGACAUCGACGUUUUAGACCAUUAUUAGAAUUGUCUUUUUUUUUUCCUUACAUAGCAAUGAUUUUUUUUUUCUAUAUUUAACUCCAUCCCCAAUUUUGGAGUAAUCUACUAAUAUUGGAGUGAAUAAUUGAUGAUGAUGCUCUGAAAAAAGAACAUGCACCUUUGAAAGAAUAAGGACAUUAACAAUAGUAAUUCUGAAGAUUACCACCAAUAUCAAUUAUCUCCAUACUUUUAAACUACUUUUGCAUAAUAGGCAGACCUAAAAGCUAGUUUCAGACAGUUCGCAUCAAUUGUAUUUUGCUUGUUUUUGAUACUUUUUCUUCGAGUCUUGAUAUGAAUUUACGUCAUUUUAAAAUUUAUAGAGAUAUAAAUAUUGUGAAAGCUUUUAAAAUCUUUCAAGUUAAAUUAUAAAUUCCACAAAAUGCACGAUAAAUCAAAAGUCAAAAGGUAAAAGAUUUCUGUCGCGAUGUACUCAUUCUUAAUCAAUUUGAUUGAUGAUAAAGGAUUGAUGAAAUUGGGGGAGAGAGUGGGCAGAUGCCGAGUCCACUAUGUGGAGCAGCAUCAUAAUAAAGCCAUUCCCCACACUGUCCCUACGCCCAAGACCCCUAUAUCACCCCUACGAGGCUACGACUAGCCAUGUUCUCAUUAUAUGUCGGAUUCUUUCCCCUAUUUAUUUAUUGUUGAUAUUUAUUGCUUCCGUGAGCUCUAUGUUAUUUCUUAUUUGUUCACCAGCCAAAAAAUUGCAAAAGAAAAAGAAAAAAUCUUUGCAACCUUAAGGGUUGUAUAUUUCGCGAAAAGUUUGCAAUUGAAAAUUUCAUUUCCUUCAUUUUUUUAACAUUUAGACCACUUAAAACAAAUCAACAAUUUUUUUUUUUAUAAAUAAUGAAAAACUUGUGUUCAAACCCACGAAAAUACUCCCUUUUGAAAGUGACAUGCCGUUUUUCAACAUAUGACUAUGUUGAAUUAGUCGAGCCCUACAAUAAUUUCAAGAAGAACAUAAAGAAGUGUUUAGUAAAACAUUGUUUUUUUCAUUUAUAUAUUGGAUCUCCACACAAGAAAAUGACACAUUUGAAAAAAAAAAUUACUAAAAAUGCUCAUGGCUUUUGGCAUACUCAAACAUAAAUAUCUUUUUAAGGUAACAGCGUAGAAGUUUGUCUCAUCUAUAAUAUAGAUAUAAUUUCUUCGUGGGAACCAGUUCAGGCCAAAAACCUCCUCUAGAGUUUCUUUAAUGAACAAUGUAGAUGAAUAAAUUUUUCUCUACAAUGCAUCUACAUAAGCUUGGUCCAGUGUAUUAAUUUUAAAAAUAUUUAAUGUCUACUGUUAUUGAUAUUAGAAAUUAUAACAAUUUAAAUAGAAUAUGAGAGGAUGAUUCACCGAGACAUAGAGAUAAAUAAAGAAUAUUUGAUUCAUGUAAGGCAAUUAAAAAAUAAGAUCAGCAUUAGGAGGGGAUGGACUUAUUUAUCACGUUGAUAUUUUUAUUGAGAUAUUACGUAUCGACAAAUAUUUAAUAAUUUUUAAUGGAAGAAAACUUUCAAUAAACUAGACGAGGCUAGGGCCUAAUCCUCAAAUUUAAUGGAAAAAUUUGGUUGUUAGGUUGUCUCAUUUUGGGAAUUUACGAACUGGUGCAUAGAUCUGUUCAAAAAAAAAAAAAAAGAACUGGUGCAUAGAUUUUUUUUUUUUUCCCCUUUCUAGGGUUUCCUCUGCUUUUUCAUUAGUCCUUAGUCUGUUUUCUUAAAAGAGAGUAGAUGGACAGAAAGAAUAUGCAGGUAGAACCUGCACUAGUAACAUGAAGUAAUUAAUUUACUCAGAAAAGUAGAGCUAGGGCUAGCGUGUGUUUAUGGGUACAUUUUAGAUCAGUUGUCACGAAGAGGUUGACGAGGGUUUAUAUCGAUCUGACAGACUCCAGUUACCCGAGAACAAAUUUUUCUAAAUUCUCCUUUUUCUGAUAGUGCGAGUGAGUAAUAAUUUGAUUUUCCUUUCUUUUUUAAUUAAAGUUUGUGUGGUGGGGGUGUGUGCAAUCAUCUGUACAGCUCUACACGUACCCAUACUGAUCAUUAUCGCAUGCAAACAAUUUUGGCAUUAUGUAUAAAAACCCCGAAAUUCCGCAGGUUAGAGGAAACUACUGCAAUUGGUUCUUUUCUUUUUUUAAAUAAAGAAAUGGAUUUUAUUUUCGGCACCUAUCUUCAAAGCAAGCAUUCUCUCAGUCUAAAACAAUCUGAUGACGCUGCUUCGUCAGGGGACAGAUUCAGAGAAUGCUGUGAACCUAAUUUUUCAAGAAUAGAAUUUGUAUGAAGUUGGAAGGGCAAAUAAAAAAAAAUCCUAAAUUAUGUAUAUAUAUAUUUUUAUAUUACAAAAAACUCUAAACUUAUCAAUCAUGACAAAAAUAUUCCAAAUUUUCUUUCGUGUCAUGAUAAAAUCCAAACUUAUAUAAUUAUGAAUAUAAAAUUCAGAAUUUUUAUAGAUUUUUAAUAACACAAAAAAACUUCGGAAUAUUUAUGUCAUUGCGAAUAUAGUUUAGGGUUUUUCUUAUGGUAUUAAUCUAAAUUUGAGUAAUGCCUAUGAGUAUUUAUCUUACUUUAUCUUGUUAUUAUAUACUUAAAGAAAGAAAAGUACCCGAAAAGCAUCAAUCGAUUUUUUGGCAACUGUGCUAGUACUGUAAAAACUUUUAGCCCUUAAAUUUUUGUGUUGGCAAGUUUGAUUUCAUGUAUCCUGUCAUCAGUGUUUAUGGAUCAUAGUGGUGUUUGUUUUAUAUUAUCUUUUAUCAUAAAAUACUCAGUUUCUCAGAGCUCUAUGUAGAUUGCCUUAGAACUAUGCCUGUUUGGAUUAAUCUGCUUAAAAGAGGCAAGUUUUUAUUUUUCAAAAGAAUUUGGAAAUGGAGGUAAAUUAAAAUUUAAAAUUUAUGAAUUACUUCCCUUUGAACAUAUAUUAGAUUAAUAUUGCAUAAAUAAAUUACUUCGUAGGAAAGUUAUCUUUCCUAUUCAGAUUUUGUUUCUCAAUAUAAUAUUUUAUAUCUGAAUAUUAUGUCGUGUAUUUAGAAUUCAUUUAUCAGCACGUUAUUUAAUACUUUUAAUUAUUUAAUACUGAUUUUAGGUUGAUAUUACCUCCAAUGAGAAUAUUAUUGUUAUGAAAGCAUUUAUAAUUAUCAAAGCAAAUAUCAAAGUAUAAAGAGCUGGCUAAUUGUUUUGGUCUACGCGAAAACUAAAUUGUUUUUAAGAAAGUCUUAUCAAAUGAAUACUUUACCUUUUUCCUUUUCUUUUUCUUCGUCGCCCAUCCUUUCCUUCCGACUCAACGCUGAGAACCUGAUAAAAUGAUCUACGUCACCGCACGCGAUGGAAGAUCUACACGUAAUCAAACACCACAUCCGACUGAAAAUUGCACUGAUCUAUGAAAGAAACGAUCUGUAUUACUAAGGAACCGCUAGUAAAUGCAGGGUCAAGGUUGGGGUUUUUCUCUCUACGCCUCUUCUCUCUAGGGUUACCUAGGGUUCGUCUCUGUGGAAGAUAGUACGCGAAUCCAUCAAGAAUAAAAGCAGGGAGAAAAGUGAGAGAGAGAGAGACGUCACUGGCAUGCUGUGAAACGGGUAUAAUUGGUAGAGGGACAGGAAGCUAUAGCUACUUCAACUCUUCUAUCAAUAAGCAAGAAGCUUUCUUUCUGAUCGAACUUUACGUCAUUUCCAUCAACAGUUUUCAUGAAAUCCAAUAAAGUUGAAGCUCCAAAAAGAAAUUUAGAAUAAUAAUAAUAAUAAUAAUAAUAAUAAUAAUAAUUAUAAUAAAGUUGGGUUCUGCGACUUCUUCUUUAUGACCCCCCCCCAUCAUGUCAAUCCCGCUCUUUAGUGGUACUUUUGCAUGGUUAAACUGGAUUACUUUAAUCUUUAGUUCAUCUGUUGUCAAUUUGUAAAGCUAAUCCACUUUUCUCAAUGGCGUCAGUUCUAGUUUGAAUAUGCGACGUAUAUGCAACAGUGGGUUUGGCCUCUUUUAUCUCAAAAAGAGGAAAACUUAGGCGGAUAAGGGUCCAUCCAAAAGGUGAUCUCUAAGUAAUAAUUAGUAUAAUGAUGAGUGUUCGUAGCAUAAUUAAACAGGGUUCGCAUCAAGCAACUUUAGUGAUUACAACGCUCCAAGUGUCCACCCUGGACUGGGGACAAAUGAAAAAGUAUAUUACAAAGAUAGAAGACUUGACAUCGUUAUAUAUAUAGAGAUGUGAUGUUAAUCUAAAUAUUGAGAGGCUUAUAAAUAUUUGUCAAACCUGAUAUGUCUGGCAUUGUUCUAUGUCCGAAUGACUGAUGAAAAGAACGAGGCCGGUAGUGGCAAUGGAAGAAUCUGCUAGGAAGGGUUGAUCAUGGGCAUCGACAUCAACAUCGACAUCAUAGAAAUAUCUAUAGUGAAAGAUCUUUCUUGCCUUUUGAAUUAUCUCAUCUCCCCUUUGCCUUGUUAAAAUGCCAUAGUUGCCAAAUUUAAACUUGCUAUGAGGAGUAUACGUAAUAUACUUGAGCUCACCCACUCGUGCAUAGAUUGAGCCUUACGCAAAAUACAUUGGGAUGUAACCACAUCAAAUUGAUAACUAGAUAUCAAAAGUUGAUAGGAUACAUACGCAUCCAUUCAUCGAUACAUUACUUAUAAACUAAGUAAUUGAGAAUACUUUGAGGAAGAAAAGGAGGAUUUCAAUCCCUUAAAAGUAGGAGGCUCUAUCUGCUUUAUAACACGGUUAAGCAUAUGUUACGUGCGUGUAUAAGAAUGGAUAAAUAUGUAAAAAUUAGAUAAACAAAGCUAAUGAGAGUCACUUUACAAAAAGAACUGGAUCGAUUAUUUCGUUAGUGGGGGAAGUGGUCGGUGGAUGAAAACUACAUGGGAUAACUUAUUGGGAUCCUUAAACUUGUUCGUUAACUUUUCUUAUUAUUUUAUGGAAGAAUAGUUUUGGAAAGUGUCAAAAGGGAAACAAAAUGGGCAUUUUGAAUUAAUGUAUAACAAUGUUGAGCUCCGCAUUAUGCACUUGUGCGAACAUGGAUGAGUUAUGUACAAAGAGAAUGAACUUAUUUUGUUAGAGUGAAUAUCUAAUGAGUAAUUGUAGCAUAUUCUAGCAUGCAAAAAAAUAAGGUUAUAGCAAGAAAAACCUAAAAUUGAUACACUUGCGACAAAUUUACUUUAAAGUAAUUUAAAAAAAAAAAAACUCAAACUGGUACACUAAUGACAAUUUUAUUAAGUUAUUGAGGUGGAUGACAUGUGAUAGUUGAUGAGUAUAUUAGUUUGGAGUUUUACUAUCCAUUUGUUAUAGGUGUAUUAAUUUGAGGUUUUACCAUCCAUUUAUCAUAGAUAUACUAGUUUGUAUUUUUUGUAGCAUUAAUCAAAUUUAAUGGAAAUCAACGGAGAUAAAUUUGUUACCAAUGUAUCAAUUUGGAUUUUUUUAUGGUAAAAAAAUCAGUUUGGGAUAAAUUUGUUAUAUGUGUAUUAAUUUAAGAUUUUUAGUAAUCAUAAAAUUAAUUUGAGGUAAAUUUAUGAUAGAUGUUUUGGCUAUUUUUUUUCCUCUCUCGGCACCCUUCCACUAGUUAUGGCUUUGUUGUCAUUUUUAGCGUAAGCUCAGUGCCGGGCCCCCUUUUGUAUAGUUUGGUUAAAACUCAAUAUAUUCUUACUUUAUCAAAAAAAAAAAAACAAAGAAAAAGCAUUUAACCAAGCAACUUUAUACACUAUUGUUUUGAGAAAGUUGAUAUGCUAGAGAAAACCGCUUUUUUAGAAUUAUCUUAACACUGACAGUGCAUGUUCUAUCUUUCCUUCUUUAAUAGUGUGGAUGUAAUAAUUAUCGGUAAUUAUCAAACACGUAUGAAUUAGGAGGUUACUUAGUGAAUAUAGAGAACAGUAACUAGCUUUGAUUUUUGUAUAUUUUGAUGCAAGCAUGAUAGUCGAACAUAUGAAGAACAAGACAAAGGGUUUUUUUUUUUUUUUUCACACACACACACACACACACAUAUAUAUAUAUAUAUUUAUCAUAAUAAGUUUUUUUGUAAGUAAAGCUUAUUAAUGCUAUGUACUGCUUGGACCCUUGGUGUUUGGUUACAUGAUAACCUUACUAGGGAACUUCGUUCUCAUGUUGGGGCCAUUCCACUUGUCUGGUAAUCCAAGUAGGUGAACGAGACUGUAUUUUUUAUUUUAACAUGUUAGGAUCCGUAUGCCCAACAUCUCCCAAGUCACCCCUAAGUUCCCCUCUGUAUUUUUGUCUUCUGCGAGGAGGAGGGAAUACCUUUUAUGUGUUUUACAUUCCAGAGUUCUCGAGGUCUAGAAUGAAUCGGGAUAAAGUCUUUUAGGGACUUACUCAUGUCCAAUUUAGAUAUAUUUAUCAUAAUAAAUUUUUUCCAAAGUAAAGCACAUCAAUGAUAGUCCAUGAAAGGUACAGAUGAAAUCGAAGGCCGAAAGGAAAUACAAAGUGGUCGGAGCUUUAACGACUAUUCAUAAUAAGUAGUACUAUCGCCCGUUCGACGCGCCCAAGCGGAGCGACCAUGACGAGAACUUUGAGAACAGGCUUUCUGCCAACCGUAGCACUUCCGAAGUGCUAUGCAAGAAUCACUUCCGAAGUGCGUAGAACGCCUGGCUCUAUUGUUGUUGGGCGAUAGAGUUGCCAGCAAAAGCGCACUGCCUUUAGCUUGAAGAGUCGAGCCUGCUUGGCUCUUGCGUUUGAUGGAGACGAGCAAACUCAGUGAAAGCGAGACUAACGCGGUUCUGGACUCGUCCAGAGUCUGCAACGUAAGGUGUCUGUCUUCGCAAGAAAGCCCCCAACCCACUUUGUCUACAUCGCUCGAGAAGAAUACACCGACUUGUUUGAUUCGCCGCACCAUCCAGACAAGUUACGAAAUCCCUCCAUUUAUGGUUGCAUUUGGCGUGAAGCUUUGUAUAAUGGAACGAUCGUGACCGCGUUAGAGAAGAUGAGCCACCUUCGGGCCACGGCUCGAGUCCUCAGAUGAGAUUACUCCAUACAUCCCAGAGAUUAGAGCAUCAACCGAUCAAACCCUUUUUCGGCGUUCCCAGGAAUGUGGCAGACAACUGUCAUGUUAGGACGAUGGUCAACCGUGAUUAAACAAGGCGUGGCAAGAAAAGUGGAAAAUAUUACCUGAUAAGCGAAACUAGAAGAUUCGAUUAAAGUCACUAACAGUAGCAAGCGAAUCACUUAAAGUAAAAAAGAUGGAUUUGGAACGAUCCCUCUUUGCCAGGCUGCAUUAUUCAAUCACGGUAGGUAGGAGAUGGUUAUCGAAUUAGAAAACCAGUUGGAGCGUAAGUUUAGAGAAAAAUGGUGAAUGAUUGGAGGACGAAAUUGAAAGGGACAGCGAGAUUAAAAGUCAGAAAAACUAUUAGCUUUUGUCAGACCGAUCUUCGGUUGAUUAUCAUUACAUUAUGAUGAUGAUGGUGAUGAUAAAUUGCUGCAAAGCUACAUGAUGUCAUUGACAGUUUGAAAAGCAAUAUGGAGGGCUGUUCAUUUGUGCUUUCUUUUGGGUUCAAGGAGGCAAUUACUUCUUUUAUUGGUGGGGUGGGAACAUGAUGGUGAUCAUUACAACAUGCAACUUCUAGGGUUUGUUUCCUUGUUUUGUAUUUUUUUUUUUUUUUGAAAGUGGGGGGGCCACUCCUUUUUUGAGGGUAGUUCCAUUUGACUAAUCUAAUACCCUUAAUUAUAAUGAUAAGAGCUUUCUCAUGUAGUAAAGGGUUAAUCACCCAGGUGGGGGUGGGAUUGUCAUGUGUAAAUUAGAUAGUUACCCUUUACGUAAUAUAACUUCGAAGACACUUUCUAAGCAAACGAUAAUGAGAAUUUUGUAGUUUUCAAAGCACCAAUUAUUCUUGUAUUAUACACGAUCAAUGCUUCAGAUUAGAUUAUUCAAAAUAAGGUAAAUGUGUUGGCGGCACUCCUUGGCAGGUUCCAGUAGCAAUUUAGAGAUGUUGAGAAACUAAUCCAAACUUCUCUCUUCGUGUCUUACUUGAAGAAGUGUUGUCAUUUUGAGAAGAUAUAUGAUCAUCAACUUGAGUUAAAAUGAUUGAAUGACCAACAGAAGAUAAAAACAA
rnacentral:lncRNA from 1 species